AAAAUGCCAAAAGAGAUUUUCAUUUUUGAGGAGAUAUUCUUCAAUAUCCUGGAUUAAUAUUUCCUCACUAUGAU